AUUGAACGCUGGCGGCAUGCCUAACACAUGCAAGUCGAACGGUAACGCGGAGAGCUUGCUCUCUGGCGACGAGUGGCGGACGGGUGAGUAAUACUUGGGAAUCUGCCCAGUAGUGGGGGACAACAUUCGGAAACGGAUGCUAAUACCGCAUACGCACUACGGUGGAAAGUGGGGGAUCUUAGGACCUCACGCUAUUGGAUGAGCCCAAGUCGGAUUAGCUUGUAGGUAGGGUAACGGCCUACCUAGGCGACGAUCCGUAGCUGGUCUGAGAGGACGAUCAGCCACACUGGGACUGAGACACGGCCCAGACUCCUACGGGAGGCAGCAGUGGGGAAUAUUGGACAAUGGGCGCAAGCCUGAUCCAGCAAUGCCGCGUGUGUGAAGAAGGCCUGCGGGUUGUAAAGCACUUUCAGUAGAGAAGAAAAGCCUAGGGUUAAUAACCCUGAGUCUUGACGUAACCUACAGAAGAAGCACCGGCUAACUCCGUG
rnacentral:rRNA from 1 species